rnacentral:rRNA from 1 species
AUUGAACGCUGGCGGCAGGCCUAACACAUGCCAGUCGAGCGGAUGAAGGGAGCUUGCUCCUGGAUUCAGCGGCGGACGGGUGAGUAAUGCCUAGGAAUCUGCCUGGUAGUGGGGGAUAACGUCCGGAAACGGGCGCUAAUACCGCAUACGUCCUGAGGGAGAAAGUGGGGGCUCUUCGGACCUCACGCUAUCAGAUGAGCCUAGGUCGGAUUAGCUAGUUGGUGGGGUAAAGGCCUACCAAGGCGACGAUCCGUAACUGGUCUGAGAGGAUGAUCAGUCACACUGGAACUGAGACACGGUCCAGACUCCUACGGGAGGCAGCAGUGGGGAAUAUUGGACAAUGGGCGAAAGCCUGAUCCAGCCAUGCCGCGUGUGUGAAGAAGGUCUUCGGAUUGUAAAGCACUUUAAGUUGGGAGGAAGGGCAGUAAGUUAAUACCUUGCUGUUUUGACGUUACCAACAGAAUAAGCACCGGCUAACUUCGUG